GUAAUUAUGGUAAAACUGAUCAGUCUGGAUGCCUCUGAAAACUAGGAGAGCGAUCAUUUUAAUCCCAGCUGUCAUAGUGUUAACUGUUUCUUGAAAUUUUCUUUCAAUUUCCAGUAAUGUUUUCGUUUGGGGGUACAUUCUCAUUCUCUCCAGGAGAAUUCAAUUGAUUGUCCAAGUAAAUUGGACAUAUUAUGUAAUUGUAAUUUAGAAGUAAAGUCCCCCUUAUAGAAAACUGUAAUAAUGGGAUAGCUUGAGAUAAUUGAUGAUUGAUUCCCUCUAUACUUCGAAUCUUCAAUACCCCUUUUGGGUGAGUAUUUUUAUUAUUGUCAUUGAAUAUAAUUUAUUAUUUUUGAAGUGAAAGUGUUUGAUUUAUGUAUGUUAAUAAUAUUAUUUCCACAUAGGAAGCGGUGAAUUGUAUUUAUUUGAUGAUCUACCUAGAUCAUCAAUUGAAUACAAUCCUAUUAGAUAUUGGAAAUUAUUAUGUUUCUAAUUCUGUUGUAAAUUUGUCAUCAAGUUUCUGUAUCGGGCCGAGAAUUUCCAUUGUAAAAGGGCUGGCGACUUUUUCCAAUCAUGGAUGGAAUCGUACGUCAUUGAACGCUGAUGAGGAGAGAACAAGACUAACUCCCUUUUGGAUCUGUCGCCGCGACGCCUGAACAUUCCUGGAGGACGACCAAUCAUCUUCACCCUUCAUCCAUCUCCGCCAGGGACUCCGGACAUCGCGAUGACAACUACAAGAUGAGUAGUACUUGAUCUCUCCCCAUCAGAAUUCAAUGUGUCCCUUAAAUUUUGGUCUCUUAAAGACAAAGAUAAUCUUUAAUUGAAGAAAGUAUUUAUUGUAAAGUGUUGUUUGAAUUUGAAUAUUCAAUAUAGAGGCAAUCAAUCGUCAAAUGAUUUUUAUUUCGGAUUCCUCACCACUGGAAUAGUACUAGAAAUUCCACUAACCUCUCCACCAUCGGGGUCUCACAUGAUUUCCAAACUCAAUUAUAGUUGUCUGAGAAUUUAGGUUCUCAAAAGACACUAUACCAUUAUUAUCUAAUCUUUCAUUUGUUGCUAUUGCACCCGGCGAUGAUAGAGCAGCUGUUCGCUCAAGACCCAUAAAAUUUUUUCAUUUAGUGAUUUUGCUUGCUUAUCCAAAUUAAUUUAUUACAUAACGUCCCUGAAUUUGAAUUCAAAAUAUUUUGAGAAUCAAUAAUGUUUUUAAUACAAAUUCUUCCUUUAACACAUCAACAUAACCUGGAAAUAUUCACCAAAAACACAUUCAAAACUCCAUAAUAACUCACAGACUUUUUCUGCAUACACCCCCCUAAAUCUCAAUCAAGACAAUAACAAAUCCAACAAACCCAUUUCUCCCUUCUCUAACCAUAAUACAACAUUUUCAAAUCUGCUACUCGACAGUGAUACCAACUUACUUUCCACUCAACAAAACAUUUCGAUUCUUAUACAAUAAAUCUCUUCUAAAAAUACUUCCGAGUAACAAUUUUGGGCUCAUACUUCAUUUACAAUUUUUAGGUCUCUUAUUUUAAUAAUAUUCUCUAGAUAUAGGUACAAUUUUUCUUUCGCUAUUCUUGGUUUUUGGCUUCAUAUGGUAACAAUGUUUUAAUAACAAUGAUAAUAAUAUAAAAUAUCUGAAUAAAUAUAUAUAUAACAUUAACUGAUACAAUAAAUAACAUAAAUAGUUUUGGGAACAACUUCUUUUCACAAACAUAUGUUUGAUAGGGCCACAUACUUGAUUUGGAUGGCAUUGGCUAUCUAAUUCCUAGAUUCAUAUCUCUUAUGUCACAAUUUGCUAUCAACUCGGUUCCAAUUAACCUAACUCCUGUAAUUUUCAUGUUUAAAGGUAAUUAUCUUAUUUCAUUCUACAUAUCCUAUCUUGUGGCCUAUUUUAAAUGAUGCUUAGAGAGAAAACACAUAAUUAAAAAUUGUUCUCUGGUUUGUUACAGGCCUCUAUUGAUUUGAGUGAAUUAAAAAUCAAAUUUGGUGACAGGAGGUAAAGAUUCAAUACUAAAUUUAUUCAGGAAAGCAGUGAUGAACUCGUCCAAUGACAAAAAUUUGUAAUGACGGGUCUGGAAAAACAUCAGAGGUUCACUGCUCAACAAACUGGUUAAUCGGAGUCGCCACAUAUUCCAAGAGGAUUCAUGACGGUGACUAGAGAUAUCUGGGCAAUGGGCUCCAUCAUGCCCCCCUCAGUUCGACUACCGCUACUACUGCCAUCAGCAGUGUGUCUGCUACCUCACUUUGUGCGGAUGAAGAGAGACUCAUUUUAAAAGGAUAAUGUGUCAAAAAUUUUAAAAAAUUGAAAGUUUGGCUAACAAGGCCUUUAGUGUGAACCACAAGAUGGAACUUACAGACAUGAAAUGUUCAAAAAGUUUUCCUAUCAUGGAUAUCACAAGCCAGGUAUUCAUUGAUUUGAAAUUUAUUUAUUGCUCAUUUAUUGUAGCCUAUAACAUUCUCAAACUGGCUUAUAUUAAAAAUAUUAGUGACUAGACAAAAUUCAGCAGUUUAGGCCCAUGAAAAACUUCAAAAUACAAUUUCCAAUAAUAAUAAAAUUUUAUAAAAUAAUUUCCUUUUUGCUUAAAGCUGUUGAUUCUCAAAAAAUAGUUUUUCGACUUGCUUGUGGUUCCAAUUAAAUUCUUACUGCCUAUUAUCCAUUCACAACAAAUCUCAAUCUGUAUUGACUUGUCUAUAAUUAUCAGCGAUAUACAGUCUUCAUUUAUUCUCAAUAAUGAUUUUAUGAUCACUGUUCUCAAUGCGACAUUGUGUCAUCACCAGUCUCACAUUCGGGUGCCAUUGUGUCACGUUGUUUUCUUCAAUAAUGGGUUGCCCCGCUUGGCUGCAGUCGAUAGAGCAUGAGUAAUAAAUUAUAUAACCCUUGUUGUGGUUCUUAGAAUAUAUAUUAUACCAAAUUCUUACUGGCUCGCCCAGGAGCACAUCCGCAAGUAUAGAUGCGAGAAUUUGCACUGCUACAACUCAAUACUAUAAAUUUGAGACUCUUCUGGUUGUGUUUAGUGAUAUAGGAUAAUUUAUAUAAAUCUCUGAAACGUAUUAUUUCGAAAGAUUUGACUAUCAAUGCUGUAUAUUGCUGUCUUAACCAACUUAUUUGGUGAAGAAUUAAGUUGGAUGGUAAUCCUAUUAAUAUUUCAAUACUGAUAAUUAGAUAGAUUGAAAUGAGAUUGGUCAUGCAUGGAGGUAGGGGAACAAAUAAAGGAUACACCAUAAAAAUUUAUAUAGAGGCUAUAUAUUACACAAAAAUCAAUCAAUAAAUGAAUACAAAUAUGUAUAGAGCAACAAGUAAAAACAGUAAAAAUAAGAACAAAAAUAUAUCUCAAAAAGAAAGUAUCACAGAUUUGCUGG